rfam:Macleaya cordata isolate BLH2017 scaffold1553, whole genome shotgun sequence.
GGCAAAAUGAUGAGCUGAUAUGCACUGAAUUUUAUGUGGAGGCAUAUAUAUAUCAAUGGUCUUCAAAGUUCUCUGAUUACU